AAAAAUUAAUAGUUAUUCCUUCAUAUAUCCUCGGGUAGAAUGGUCCCGAGAGUCUCUACCGGGUAGCCGAAAUUACCUGACUAUGAAGGCAGAAUAAGUUUGC
rnacentral:ncRNA from 2 species